rnacentral:rRNA from 1 species
UGGGGAAUUUUGGACAAUGGGCGAAAGCCUGAUCCAGCAAUGCCGCGUGUGUGAAGAAGGCCUUCGGGUUGUAAAGCACUUUUGUCCGGAAAGAAAUCCUUGGCUCUAAUACAGUCGGGGGAUGACGGUACCGGAAGAAUAAGCACCGGCUAACUACGUGCCAGCAGCCGCGGUAAUACGUAGGGUGCAAGCGUUAAUCGGAAUUACUGGGCGUAAAGCGUGCGCAGGCGGUUUGCUAAGACCGAUGUGAAAUCCCCGGGCUCAACCUGGGAACUGCAUUGGUGACUGGCAGGCUAGAGUAUGGCAGAGGGGGGUAGAAUUCCACGUGUAGCAGUGAAAUGCGUAGAGAUGUGGAGGAAUACCGAUGGCGAAGGCAGCCCCCUGGGCCAAUACUGACGCUCAUGCACGAAAGCGUGGGGAGCAAAACAGGAUUAGAUACCCUGGUAGUCCACGCCCUAAAACGAUGUCAACUAGUUGUUGGGGAUUCAUUUCCUUAGUAACGUAGCUAACGCGUGAAGUUGACCGCCUGGGGAGUACGGUCGCAAGAUUAAAAACUUAAAGGAAUUGACGGGGUCAUAGCUGUUUCCU